GCAGCUGUGUGGCAUAGUGGUAAGGAGCAGGGCUCGUAACCAAAAGGUUUCUGGUUCGAUUCCCGACAGGGGCA